ensembl:lncRNA
AGGGAAGAGGGUGUUUAUUGUGAGUCCAAAGGCAGCCACAUCCUUCAGCCAAUUCUAGAAGCAGAGAGGUCCCUCCUCUCUCUUAGCGAUGGUUUUGACAUUUAAGUUCCUUUCAACCUCAAGCAAAUUGGAUCUAAACUCAGAUGAACAGGAAGAGAAGUGACGACGACGAGACAAGUCAAGGCUUAAUUUUAAUGCAGAGCUUUUUUUCUUUCCCAAUGCAGAAGUCUUAUUAAAGAAACAGCAGGAUGCUGACAGGAAACUGUUUACAAUUAGCUCAAGACUGAAGGCUGAAGACUCAAGACUGAAAGCAGUACAAAAAUAGCUUUUUCCUGGCUCAUUUGCCACAGGCGGAGGAAGAGAGAGAAAGAGAGCAACUCCUAUGUCCUAGGUAUCAGAUUGUCUCUUCCUGGCAACAAUAAAAAGGCUUUCUCUGUGUGUGCGUUUCUUACUGUCUCCCCUCCUUUUUAUAAGAUACCUUAUGUUCUCUUAUCUACUGCUUAUUACCACCUUCCUAUAGUUGGUACAACCUACCUUUGAUAUUAAGCUACUGUCAUAAUGGAAACUACAUUCC